CUCAGGAUGAACGCUGGCGGUAUGCCUAACACAUGCAAGUCGUACGAGGGUUUUUAACUCUAGUGGCGGGCGGGUGAGUAACACGUGAGAAUUUGCCUUUAGGAGGGGAAUAACAAUCGGAAACGAAUGCUAAUACCCCAUAUGCUUUUGAGUGAAGCGGAUUUAUCCGCCUAAAGAGAAGCUCGCGGCUGAUUAGCUUGUUGGUAAGGUAAGAGCUUACCAAGGCGACGAUCAGUAUCUGGUUUGAGAGGACGAUCAGACACACUGGAACUGAGACACGGUCCAGACUCCUACGGGAGGCAGCAGUGGGGAAUUUUCCGCAAUGGGCGAAAGCCUGACGGAGCAAUACCGCGUGAGGGAAGACUGCCUAUGGGUUGUAAACCUCUUUUUUCAGGGAGGAAUAAAAUGACGUGUACCUGAAGAAUAAGCAUCGGCUAACUCCGUGCCAGCAGCCGCGGUAAGACGGAGGAUGCAAGUGUUAUCCGGAAUCACUGGGCGUAAAGCGUCUGUAGGUGGUUUAGUAAGUCAACUGUUAAAUCUUGAGGCUCAACUUCAAAAUCGCAGUCGAAACUAUUAGACUAGAGUAUAGUAGGGGUAAAGGGAAUUUCCAGUGGAGCGGUGAAAUGCGUAGAUAUUGGAAAGAACACCGAUGGCGAAAGCACUUUACUGGGCUAUUACUAACACUCAGAGACGAAAGCUAGGGUAGCAAAUGGGAUUAGAUACCCCAGUAGUCCUAGCCGUAAACUAUGRAUACUAGAUGUUGAACAGAUCGACCUGUGCAGUAUCAAAGCUAACGCGUUAA
rnacentral:rRNA from 1 species